rnacentral:rRNA from 1 species
GCGGCAGCUUACACAUGCAGUCGAGCGGGCGAAGGGGGCUUGCGCCUUAACCUAGCGGCGGACGGGUGAGUAAUGCUUAGGAAUCUGCCUAUUAGUGGGGGACAACAUUCCGAAAGGGAUGCUAAUACCGCAUACGCCCUACGGGGGAAAGCAGGGGAUCUUCGGACCUUGCGCUAAUAGAUGAGCCUAAGUCGGAUUAGCUAGUUGGUGGGGUAAAGGCCUACCAAGGCGACGAUCUGUAGCGGGUCUGAGAGGAUGAUCCGCCACACUGGGACUGAGACACGGCCCAGACUCCUACGGGAGGCAGCAGUGGGGAAUAUUGGACAAUGGGGGGAACCCUGAUCCAGCCAUGCCGCGUGUGUGAAGAAGGCCUUUUGGUUGUAAAGCACUUUAAGCGAGGAGGAGGCGCUCUAGGAUAAUACCCUAGAUGCGUGGACGUUACUCGCAGAAUAAGCACCGGCUAACUCUGUGCCAGCAGCCGCGGUAAUACAGAGGGUGCGAGCGUUAAUCGGAUUUACUGGGCGUAAAGCGCGCGUAGGUGGCUAAUUAAGUCAAAUGUGAAAUCCCCGAGCUUAACUUGGGAAUUGCAUUCGAUACUGGUUAGCUAGAGUAUGGGAGAGGAUGGUAGAAUUCCAGGUGUAGCGGUGAAAUGCGUAGAGAUCUGGAGGAAUACCGAUGGCGAAGGCAGCCAUCUGGCCUAAUACUGACACUGAGGUGCGAAAGCAUGGGGAGCAAACAGGAUUAGAUACCCUGGUAGUCCAUGCCGUAAACGAUGUCUACUAGCCGUUGGGGCCUUUGAGGCUUUAGUGGCGCAGCUAACGCGAUAAGUAGACCGCCUGGGGAGUACGGUCGCAAGACUAAAACUCAAAUGAAUUGACGGGGGCCCGCACAAGCGGUGGAGCAUGUGGUUUAAUUCGAUGCAACGCGAAGAACCUUACCUGGCCUUGACAUACAGAGAACUUUCCAGAGAUGGAUUGGUGCCUUCGGGAACUCUGAUACAGGUGCUGCAUGGCUGUCGUCAGCUCGUGUCGUGAGAUGUUGGGUUAAGUCCCGCAACGAGCGCAACCCUUUUCCUUACUUGCCAGCAUUUCGGAUGGGAACUUUAAGGAUACUGCCAGUGACAAACUGGAGGAAGGGGGGGA